AUGUAAAUUUUUUAUUUUACUUUUUACAGACUAUUAAGUGAGCAUGCAUUUGUGCUUUAUUUUUCUUUUUAAUUCAAUAUAAAAUAAAUUAGGUUUACAAGCAUCUGGUUUUUUCUCUUUUUCAAAAUUUCUUGGGUAGAUUUUGUUUAUGCAUGUGGUUUUUAUUGUUUGAACGCUUCUAGCACUAAGCACAUUGAGUUGUAACUGAAAAAAGUCUAAUUAGAAGGGAAGAACUUGGUGCAAUUAAGGUGUUUGACAAUAUGCCUAAAACAAGAAAAAAAAUUAUUCCUUUUCUUUCCCCAUAGGUGAUUUUAUCAUAAUUAUCUAUUCCCUUGCAAGGAUAUAACUUUUGAUAACACAAAUAUGGGACGUUUGAAAUAUAUUUCGGCAAUUAUAGGUAUGACACUGAAAUACGCAGCAUAUCCUUUACUGGUAAUGUAUUUGCAUAUUUCUUUGUAUCUGAAAAAUGGUGCUUUUACAUGAAAGAAAAUGAAUAAGAAUAAUUCUUUCAUGGUGCCUUGCAUUUUUAUCGUGCUGCAAUUAGUAAUGUUGUUUUUUCGGGAAUUCAUCAUUAGCAGAAACUUUUAUUCUCUCUUUGUCCGGAGUAUCUAUAUAAAUAGUAAGAUUUACAUGAUUAAUAUUAUUAAUUUUUUCUUCUAUUUAUUUACUAUCUAGGUCAACAGAAAUGUAUAUCCAGACCAUCCUUCUAAAGUGCUUAUUAACCUAUUGGUGGUAAAAUGCAGUAGUGUUAUCUGAAUUCCCUGCGUGCCUCUCUAUUUUCAUUGUACAAGUAAAUGUGAUUUUUUUGUUGAUGAUAUGUGGGUUCUAAAACAAUGUUGUUUUAUUAUAUGUUAAUGCAGGAGACUAACUCAUUAACAAUGUUGUUUUAUUAUAUGUGUCAGUUGCUACCUUCAAUUUUCUUUUUGACCUACACGUGGUUACUUUUUAUUUGUGUGGAACGUCUGCCUUCCACUUCAGUUCCAUUUCGCUUCUUCCUAAUUCUGUGUCGUUCCUAAUCAGUCAUCCUAUGCCCAUCUUUUAGCUGCUUCUAUUGAGCUUUUUUUCUUUCUUCUCUAUGUUCAAGUAUCUCUAUUUUUUUUAAGAUGGAAUUUUAGAUUAUUUAACUGCAGAUUCUUUAAGAGAAGGUGUACCCCUCCUGUAUGUCUUCAAGCAUUUCGACAGUGUUAUUUGGAAAUUUAGGGGGACUGAACAGGUAAGGACUGCAUAGAAACUGCUUGCUCUACUCAUCUGAUUGGUGUCUCUUGUUUAGAGGUUUAGUUGCUUCUGGCGAUCAACAACUGAUAUGCAAUUGACCGCUCAUCCUGGCUUGCCGUGCAUCUCUUCUUCUACUUAAUUUUUCACAAAGAUGAUUAUACACAAUCAUAAAUAAUGCAGGGGAAAAGCCUGAUUUGAAAAGCCCUUUGUACAACCUGUAGACGCCAAUCCCUUUCUUUGCGUGUGAAAUCUCCCGUAGUGUAAUUUCAGUUCAUCCUUACUUCCUGAACGCAAAAUACAAUUAACAUUAGCCUAUCAAGCAUUAUCGAUGUAUGUUUGAUCUCGGAUAUUGUUCUUCAGCUGAGGCUGGUAAGCUCAUGCUCAUGGUUGGAUUGAUGGUUGUCUAUGUGUCUCCUAAAGGAUUUUCAAUAGCAAAUAACUUGUGAUCUCAAGUUGAAGAUGUCUAAGAUGUCUGAGAUGGAGUAAGAUGAAUUGGAAUCAACUAUUCAACUACGAAGGUUUAUUUAGCUUUAGUAACAAUUUUGUCUAGAAAUAAUUAGCAUGAGUAUAUGUAUAACACAUUUUGGUUGUAUUACUGGAAUUAGGUGAUAUUCGAGUUGUUUAUAUACAUGAGUAUAGUUCAUGUACAGAAGACAUUUAAGUGAGCCAUAAUCUUUUUCUUAUUUUCCAAGAUUAGAACUGUGUUUCCAUAUGUUUUUUAGGGUAAGAGCAUUGACACAGUGUACUAUGUCUAACUUCAUGCUCAUUAGAUGUUCAGUUAUUGUAUGAGGUCUACCCGAAUGCUAGCUGCAUUUGCUGGAAAUAUUGAAGCUCGAGUUACUGCAUAUUGACGAGAAACCUCUCAUGUCAAAACCGAAAACUGUCAAAUAGCAACUUUCCACAAUUGUUCUGAG